CUAAGGAUGCCACAUUGCACCGUGGAAGUAGAGCAACAGAGAGUAUGUAACCUGGCUCUGAGGCUGCAGAAACUGGAGAAUGGCGAGCACCUCUUCAAAUUCUGCUUGAAGAAUUCAGUGAUUUACAGUUCACUAAAACUGCACAAAAUGUGGAAAGGAUGGCUGAGGAAAACAUCCUGAUUUUGCUUGCUUUUUAUAAGUGUUAUGUAUAGAUGAAUAAAGUGUUUGAUCCUUUUUAACAGAACAGUGUUUGUUACCUUGACCCACUGCGUGAAUUUUGAAGAGACUGCUAUUUGUCUUCUAUUUGAUUUUUUUGAAAUGUAUUCAUCAGAUAUUUACCCAGGUGGGAUUCCAAAUAUGUAAGAGGGCUGAGCAGCCAAAGAAGAGAACCAUGAGUCCUGCAUUUUGUAGACAUUGGAGAUCAGAGACACGACAGGUGAUGUGUGCACAGAUGGACAUGCAGCCCAGGAGGAUUGCAGGCUGGGUAGGCGGAGCUUGGCCUGUCUGCUUCUGUCCAUAGUCUCUCUCUUGUUUCCUCUGGCUUUGCCAGCAAGAGUAUCGUGUGAGGAUUUUUCUGGAUUAGGCUUUUUAUCUUUUUGUUUUCCAAGGUGUGUGACAGAGUGACUUUCAGAUGAGGAGCCUGAGACAGACACUACAGAGCCUACAGACAUGUUUAGGCAACAGGACCCCCAUGACAGUUACCUGGACUAACAGGAUGGACUCAUUCAUUCUCCCCAGUCUCUUUCCAUCUCUCUGCUGUUCGCCCUUCACAGUGUUGGUGUCUUACUGAAGCUGGCUUCCCUCAUAGUUGUGAGAAUGCUGGCAACCAUUUCCAGGGCUGUCGUUUCCCUGUCCCAUUUUGAGGAGACAGAAGAUUCUUUUCAGGACUUAUCUUAGAAACACAAGAAGGAAAACUUCCCAGCAGCCCCCAGCAAGCCUCUGUUUGUAUUCAUGGGCCCUAAUUGAGUGACAUAUUCAUUCCUGAGCCAUUAAGUGACAGAAGGAUGGACCAUGCUGAUGAGCUCAGGCCUGAGCUCCUUACCCCUCUCCAAGAGGCCGCUUCCCCACAGGCUCUGGGACUGCGGAGAAGGACUGGACACCUGAAUAGAAACUGAGGAGGAAGGGCAUCAAGAAGCAAGCCCAUAUCCAUCUCAUUACAUGGAUCUGUCCAGUCAAAGCUCAAGAUUCUUUUUUCCUUCACAGCCAUGUGACUUUGGAUGAAUUAUUUAAUCUCUCAACAGUUUCACCAUCUGGGAAACAGGGAUAACAUUACAAUAUUUCAUGAAUUGAGAACUAAGAUUUAUUCAUUCUUUGUCAUUUGCUGCCAUCAUCUUUUGUACCAUGGUUUUUGUUAUUUUCUUCCUUAAAAAGCUAAGAUGAUUUCCCACUGCUUAUAGGACAAAUAAGAAUCUUACCUGCCUUGCUGGGUGCAGUGGCACAUGUCUGUAAUCCCAGGAGCUUGGGAGGCUAAAGCAGGAGGAUCGCAGGUUGAAAGCCAACCUCAACAAUUUAGUGAGGCCAUGAGCAACUUAGCAAGACCCUGUCUCAAAAUACAAAAAGGCUGAGGGAUGUGGCUCAGUGGUUAAACACCCUGGGAACCCUCCCCAAAAGGAAGAAUCUUACCAGCCUCAA
ensembl:lincRNA